GAUGAACGCUGGCGGCGUGCUUAACACAUGCAAGUCGAACGAUGAAGCCCAGCUUGCCGGGUGGAUUCGUGGCGAACGGGUGAGUAACACGUGAGUAACCUGCCCUUAACUCUGGGAUAAGCCUGGGAAACUGGGUCUAAUACCGGAUAGGAGCGUCCACCGCAUGGCGGGUGUUGGAAAGAUUUAUCGGUUUUGGAUGGACUCGCGGCCUAUCAGCUUGUUGGUGAGGUAAUGGCUCACCAAGGCGACGACGGGUAGCCGGCCUGAGAGGGUGACCGGCCACCAUGGGACUGAGGCACGGCCCAGAAUGCUACGGGAGGCAGCAGUGGGGAAUAUUGCACAAUGGGCGCAAGCCUGAUGCAGCGACGCCGCGUGAGGGAUGACGGCCUUCGGGUUGUAAACCUCUUUCAGUAGGGAAGAAGCGAAAGUGACGGUACCUGCAGAAGAAGCACCGGCUAACUACGUG
rnacentral:rRNA from 1 species